GUCAAAUGUUAUUUUGCGUUAAUACAUAGACUCGCUAAAAUUACUCGGAUGCACAAGUAAAAAAAAAAAAAUUUAAAUAGUUAAUUUAAUUUUAUUAACAAGGACUUUGCUUUUGUGAUUCUGUAAAAUAAAUAAUUUUAUAAGUAUUAAUUGAAUAUUAAUGGACAACGUCGAAAGUAAGAUAUUUUCUAAUAGUUUGGAAGGUUUACCAAUGCAAUACUCAAAAAAAAUGAUAAAGCUAUGCUUUUUUAAAAGUUGUUUCAACAUUGCUGUACUUGCUGUACAAUUUUAAGCUUCAUGUAUUAUCCAACACCCGAUCACGUGAAGGAUUGACCAAUCAGGACUCUGCCUUGGGUGCAUUGGAUGCCAAAGAGGAGGCGCAAAACGAUUAUGAAUCCUACAAUGUAUAGUGCUAUUGUAACCUACAAAACAGGCAGUGGGUAUCCUCUGGGAUUAUCCAAGGACCAGAAGUCAAAUUUUCGGAAAAAAACUGCUAUUUUUGACAUUGAAGAUAGUCAGCUGUACUACAGAAGAUAUAAAGGAACUGCCCGUGAACUGAGAUUAAAGGUUGUCUGUGGUGCAGAGGAUGCAAAUAAAUGCUUUAAAGAGUUUCACGCUAGCAGCAAUGGUGCACAUUGUGGACAAAAAAACCCCAAAGAUGCCAUAUCCAAAAGGUUUUACUGGCCAGGGAUGUCCGAGGAUCUUGACAAAUGGGUGGCUGAAUGUGUGGCAUGUCAGGCCACUAAAGCAUCAAUUAAAGAAGAGGUCAAAAUUACACCUAUACAGGUCACACAACCCUUCGAACUUUUGGGGAUGGAUCUGAUCGGGAAACUCACUUGCACAGACAGUGGCAAUCAAUAUAUAUGCGUAAUAAUUGAUUACUUAACCAAAUGGCCACAGGCUUAUCCACUCAGAAGUAAGUCUGCAGAGGAGGUCACAAACUGUAAUUAUCAAGUUUUUCAAUCAGUUUGAGGCACCAAAACGCAUACUCACAGACCAAGGGAGGAAGUUUGUUAAUCAGAUUCUUGGCAUCAAAAGGAGUUUGUGCUAACCCUAUCAUCCCCAGACCAACGGUCUAGUCAAAAGGAUGAAUGGAACCAUACAGAGGGCUCUCAGCAAAUUGGGUGCCAAAAAACCGAAAUGUAGAUGCUGUUAUGUUUGGACUAAGGACCAAAAAACAAAUGACAACAAAGUUAUCUCCUUUUUAUAUGAUGUUUGGUCGUGAGGCACGAUACCCUUCUCAGGUCCCAGAAGAUUAUCAGGUGGAUUGUCUUUUAUGUUUUGUUUAAUAUUUAAUUGUAUGUAUCGCAUUAAGUAUGAACUUUGACAAGCACAGCACAGAGUCACUUUAAACACUUUAAUAGCAGCACAUGAACAGUUUAGUAAC